rnacentral:lncRNA from 1 species
AAAGCCUUUCCCCUCCGCAACACUUAGCUCAGCUACACCACGAGAGCACAGCUUUAUGAGCCAGCUAAGCUCAUUUAAAAUCGGCUGCUGCCAAAAGGGGCUGUGCCUCCCCCCCCCACACAGCCAUCAGAAAAUCUGGGGCACCCUUCUGAGCAGUGAGCCAACCCAGCAGCAUCCCAAUGGCACCAGCCAUGCCCCCUCUGCUCUGAGCCCCAGAGUGGUGGGAGAGCUCCAGCAGCUCACAGGGAUGGGAGAUGGGAACACAACCCUGCUUGCGUGAUUGUUUUCCCUUCUGUUGGAAGGCAGCAGGGAUUUCUCACAUCGGAAAAGCGAGGGCGUAAUGGGAAAGGCAGGUGGUGCACGCAGUGCUGAGCACACGGCUCAUCCCGGACUGAUAACUGCUGCAGGACCAUCAGCACAGCACCACGAUGGGGCCGAGCAGAAGCGUGUGACACUCUCAGCCCUGGAAGAUGCAGCGAGUUGCCUACCAAGGAAAUUGCUGGAAGAACACCCAGAAAAAAGCAGCGUGCACAUACACAGGCAGCUAUCUAUUCCAGGAAUUCUUGGGACGGGUAAUUGGAGACUGGUCUCGUUAGCAGAGAGCCUUCAUGCUGAGCUUGCGGAGGAGACUGUAGGGGUUGGGAUGGGAAGAGGGAGGAUCUCUCCCUGGAGAAAGAGGGAGAGACAACAGCAAGUUCAGGCAGUGCUGGGAAUGCAGCACUGGAAACUUGUCAGAUGUUGCACUGCAGAACUGCUACAGACAACAGCACUCGGGGUGAACUGUUCCCAUGCAGCUGGGAACGCUCCUCAGGAGCAGAGCUGGUGCCAGCUGAGCCACCAGAAUGCAAUGGCAGCAGUGCAUGGAGAACAGCCUGGUGCCCAGGAAUCGGCCUGGAGAGUCUGAACUGAUAGGAAAGCAGGAGGUUCCCAUUAAGGGAGGAACCGUGAGCAGCUCCCCUCUGCACAACCAGCACUGACUGCAUUGGCUGCACGGACUCAGCUGUGAGAUUCCCAAACAGCUUCUGCCAGCGCUCCUCUGCUCUCAGAGGGGUUCAGACAUCGUCUGUGUCUGAACGUGUGCGUAUCAAUGAGAGGAAAAUGUCAGUUAAAGCAGGGAAAGCUGGAGACUGGGAAAAGACUGAGGGCUCCAAAUACACUGCAGACCCGGGGUUGUUGUUAUUAAAAAGCACUUCCAGUUACAGGAUGGUUCGUCUCACAGCAUUAAAAACCAGGGAGAUGCAGCAGCAAGUGGGAAAGCUGCAAACUCAGUGCUGGGGCUCCCUGAGAGCAUCAAACCCAGUGCAGCUCUGAGCCCCUCUGGAACCGCAUCCAGGAGCGGCAGAACCCGCAGCUGUCACACAGACACAGCGGCAGCCCCAGGACGGGGCACUGUGGAGCUGCGCCAAGCCAAAUGAAACUGAUGAAACAGAAUGCAUCUUCAUGUGGCUGUGCAGAUGGCUGCGUGCCUGAGAACACUGCGAGCUGCAGAUCAGAGACACCCAGCACUGGGAUGAGAAACCAAAAACGCCCCAAAUCCACGUUGAGUUACAAAAUAGCUUCAUCCUGACACAACUUAACCAUCUCACGCUUCCCAGUUCAGCUUUGGAAGCUGAAGCUCUGCUAUCCUUACAUUGAUAGUUACAUUGAUGCAGGAUGGCGCCCCGGGCAGCUGCGGCUCCCAGCAGGGCUCCCACAACAGCUGAGGGCUGCGCGGGUAGCUCCGCACUGCAGAGGGGUGGUGGGAUGAGGAACACCAGCACUGUGCGCCCAUGGAACCAAUCCACCGCUGUGCUUCACUGUUUCCACAUCUGCAGAAGCAGGCUUUAAACAAGUAAGUGUGUUUCUAAGCUUUGACAGUUAAAAUCCUCAAGUGACAUCACCUGAAGUCGGAGCACAGCUGCCUUAUUCCUCUGGCACAUGGCUGCGCCAAAGUAAGCACGAGCCCCAGUUUAUGGGCUGACAGCACACCUCGAGAUGGCGAAAGCACUGCUGGGGUUUGCCCUGCAGCACUACGGCCCCUCCUGACUCUUUCCUUGUUUUUGGGAGUAAGAAACACCACAUUGAGGAGCACUGAGCCCCAGCAGAGGGAGCACGGAGGGUGCGCCAACCCAACGGGUUUGGUGGAACACCGGGAAUGGUGCUCACAAGGAGGAGAGCGACGGAACCCACCGAGCAGCACAGCUCCGGGGUGCCCUCCACGGGGCACGGGAGGGGAGCAGAGCACCCACCCCGACACGGCCGCUUACAAGCAGCUUAAGGGUGUAAAUCGCGUUAAUCCCGGUAACAAAGCUCCGGGCUCACCCUUGUGUGAAUCGCUAAUCCCUCUCCCCCGGGCUGUCCCCAUCCAGAGCUCGGAGGCAGAACAGCGCAGCACCGAGAGGUGACCCCACCGAGCACAGCCCGACAGACCCCAACGGCACCGAGCAGCUCCAGGGGCUGCAGCAGCGCUGUGCCCAUCUGCUCAGAGCCCUCCCUCUUGUUUCGGAGGGGAUUACUGGAAAAACGCGCAUUUCCCUUUUCACUGCUCUGUAUUUCGGGCUCUCCCCGAGGCAGCCUCCAAAAACGCCGCGCGUUGGUUUCAACCUCAGAAGCAGCGCACGUUUGGUUUGCUAGAACAAAAGCGUGCAGGUCGUAAUCAAGCCGGAUCAAAAAGGCCCAGGUUGGCAGCACGGCUCUACGUCCGCGACAACCCGCGGUUGUCCAAAUCCUUCACUUUGUAUAUCCGGACCAGCCAGUGCUCUGUGGUGUACGCCUCCUCCAGCACAUCCAGCUCAAAGUCCUUGUUCCCGAUCUCGGCGUUGCGCACGCGGUCGUAGCCCGGCGGCCGCUUGGCCUCGGUGUAGACCUGCCCGAAGCGGUAGUAGCACAUCUUGUACAUCAGGCAGUUGAGCAGCACCGGGGAGCCCUCGCGGUCGACGCGGAACUCGCCGGUGGGCGUGUAGUAGUCGUGCUCCUUGAUGUGCCGGCCCGUGUCCGUGCUGCCGCCGAUGCGCACCAUCCACAGGAACUUGUUGAUGUCGUCAGACGAAUAGCCGGUGAGGCCGCCGAAGAUCACCAGCACGUAGCUCACGUCCAGCUCUCUCAUGAUCUCGUAGGCUUUCUCCUCCGUCGAUGCCAUCGCCUGCGGGGGACCCAACGGCUGUGAUGUGCCGCAGUGCUCCAAAAGCACGGGCGCGGUGUGGGAGCACCUACCUGCCCAACACGGGAGAUGUGCGUGUUGUUCCAGGUGUUGUUGUCCACCAGGAUGGUGCGGUUGGCCAUGGCGGUGAUCUGGUAGCCGUAGUCCCACCAGGACAUCACCUUGGCGUCCUGCAGCCAAACACCACAUGUGCUGUCAGCAUGCAGAUGGGUGCCAGCACCCGCCGGGGUCGGAGCGCCGUUACCUCGGGCGUGUUGUGCCGCAGCCAGUAGUAGGCCUCCCUGAAGUCAUCAAAGAUGAUUCUGCUGCCGUCCCCGCCGCGCGCUGACAGCACGAUGGAGGGCGAUGAGUAUGCCUCGCUGGUCACCCAGGUCGAGUGAAAGGUGUACGUGAUGAGGAAGAAAGCCAUCACCAGGAUCAUGCCGCUGGCAACCUGGGGAUGCAGAUCAGUGUCACUGCAGGAGGGCACAGAGCACCUCCCACGCGCUCAUCCCCACCAGGAACAGCAGCAACGCUCCUCUUCCCCACAGUGAGGAGCUGCCCCAGCACUCACUUCAUUUUUGAUGGGGUAGGUGGAGUCUUGCUGCUUUUUGCUCUUCUUGUCUGGCCGGCUGAUGUCCAGGUUCUUCAUGUAGGUGGACAACACCUGAGAAACGCCGAUGCCGGAAAGGAUGCACAUCACCGGGGCCAGCACCAGCAUCAGCCGCACCUGCAGGCAACAGCACGGCCAUCAGAGCCUGCUGAGCGGGCAGAGCCACACAGCCUGGCCUGGGGCAACUCCACAGAUGGGGCACCCACUUCUCUGAGCAGCAGUGCCAGGAUCUCACCGCACUCUGGGUGAAGAACUUCCUAACAUCUAACCUUAACCUGCCCUCUUUUAGUUUAAAGCCAUUGCCAACAAGUUCAGAAACGAAGAAGUCAGUUUUGUUAAGACCAUCUCAUCAUCCUGCUCGUGUCCUUCUCAGUCCCACAACAGUGCACCAACCCGAGCAGCCCUCACCAUUACAGCAGAGAAGUACAUGGAGGUCACGCCAUACAUGAUGAUAAAAAUGCGGGCAUCUGAGAGAUUGCUGAAGCAGUAAUAGAGACCAACUGCAAAGAGGAAAGAGAAACAGGUGAGGUUCACCUUAGCCUGAAAGAAAAUCCAUCUGGUGGGGACAUGCAGCACGCUGCAAGGAUGUAAUAAACCCAGAGAUCACCUCAGGGUCCGACUGCAACAAGGCUGGGCUCACCUGGGAACAUGAACACAAGGAGCUGCAGGUCAAAGUAAUAGGAGGACCAGGUGGUGGGCUGGUGCUCUGAGACAGAGGCAAUGAUGGGAAUGUUGUUCUUGGCAUAGGAAGGAUCCAGCAGGGAGUAGAAACGCCCCGUCCAUGGGGAGAUUUUCCCUAGCAGAGAGGAGAAAAAUCAGCAUCAGUCCUAGCACAGCCAGCAAUGCCAACAGGUUGUCACAACGGAAAUGUGCAAGGCUGAAUGAGCAAUCCUGCACCUCGUUUAUCAUCUCCAUUACUCAAAACUCUUAUUUUAAAAACGAAAUUAAAUGUGAUUUUACCCUAAGAAGAUUUGUGCCCAACCCACUCCACAUGGUGCAAGCAAUAAUGCAGAAAUCACGACUGACAAAAGGUGUGCCCUUCAGUGAGGGACACGGUUAGUGAGAACAGUGGGGCUGGGCUGGGGUUGGACUUGGUGAUCUGAAAAGUCUUUUCCAACCUUAAUGAUUCUGUGAUUCUAUGACUCAAAGCAUGGGAAAGAGGCAAAGCCAGCAGUGAAACAUGCUCCACAACAUCGCCAUUAAUGGGAUCACCAUUAAUUGAACUACCUGUGAGCAUCAGCACAGCCCCGGUUGUCAGGAGGACAAAGCCAACCAGGGAGAUGACGCUCCUGAAGAGGACUUCAAACUGCUGUGGGUUCAGCUUGCUGCGGAGGUAGUCCACAAAGGCAUGGAUUUGGCACAAGCCAAAGACGCCCAGGGCAGCCAUGUGCUCUGAGGAGAGGACAGGCUGCAAACAGGGGACAGUGUGAUCAGACACAGGGAAACAGCAGCUGAGUCACUCCAAAAAGACCUCAGCAAAAUCAGUGCUGAAGUCAUGACCGGCUGAAGUCAUAGGAAGCCAUUCCCUCCCUGUGGACAUGACAAAUUUCACAUCAGCCUUAAUUCUGAUAGGAAUGAACAUGAAAAAUGAACUCUGAGAGCCUUCCUUGGUGUAAGCUCUCGUCCAGCUGAAGUUUCCAAGCCCACGAAACCUGUAUUCCCCAUUCCAGGACACUAAAGGUGACAAAGAGGCAACUGCUUCUCUUGACAAUGCUACACUUCCUACUGUAUGGAGAUGUGUGCUGGUGAGAGCGUUUCCUUCAUGGAAAAUGGAACUUCCAAGAUUUCCUGAAAGAGAAGCAGUGCUGGAAGGCCUCACCUGAAAGCCAACAAAGGAGAUCUGCAUUGAGAGGAUUGUCCCCAGGCAGUACACAGUGCAGUAUGCAACAUAGAUCCUGUGUGAGAAGCGGCCAGUCAGCAUCAGCACAAGGACGUGCAGUGGGAUCAGGUUAAUCAGGAAGACAUAGCCACCCCACGAGGAGACCUGGCAAAAGGAAAAUGAAAAAUACCAAUUCCAGAGCUGGACAGACUGCACGGUGGGGUCCAACAGCACAUUCUGUUUUCUUGGGAUCAUGUGCUCUCCCCAUAAAGGGCACCCUGAGCAGCCCCAGCUGCCAGAAGCCCAGACUUAUCAGAUAUCUGGGUGCCAGGAUAAAGGAACGCUCACCAUGUAGAAAUAGGCAAGAGCACACAUCGCUGCCCAAUAGAUAGAGCCAGUUUUCACAGCCUUGAUCCACAUGUAGUAGGUUAGCAGCAUGCAGAAAAUGGCAAUACCUGGGUGGAGAGACACAGCGAGGUCAGAGCAAGCUCAUAUCACCCUGAAUGUCAGUGUAACCUCAAUGUCAAUAUGCACCAGAGCAUCUGACUACGUUAAAAUAUAUAUAUAUUAUAUAUAUAAAAAUCUGCCUAUCUUGCUGCUGCUCCACCAGAAAGAACAGCACUUUGUAUGAAUAGUGGGAAAACAGUUCUGU